rnacentral:rRNA from 1 species
GACGAACGCUGGCGGCGUGCUUAACACAUGCAAGUCGAACGGAAAGGCCCUGCUUGCAGGGUACUCGAGUGGCGAACGGGUGAGUAACACGUGGGUGAUCUGCCCUGCACUUCGGGAUACGCCUGGGAAACUGGGUCUAAUACCGGAUAGGAGCCAUUUUUAGUGUGAUGGUUGGAAAGUUUUUUCGGUGUAGGAUGAGCUCGCGGCCUAUCAGCUUGUUGGUGGGGUAAUGGCCUACCAAGGCGGCGACGGGUAGCCGGCCUGAGAGGGUGGACGGCCACAUUGGGACUGAGAUACGGCCCAGACUCCUACGGGAGGCAGAAGUGGGGAAUAUUGCACAAUGGGCGCAAGCCUGAUGCAGCGACGCCGCGUGGGGGAGGACGGCCUUCGGGUUGUAAACUCCGUUCGCUAGGGACGAAGCUUUUUGUGACGGUACCUAGAGAAGAAGCACCGGCUAACUACGUG